GGGCGGGCAGCGCGGCCAAUAGGAGUGAGGCGGGCGCCUCGCGCCGUUCAAAUGGUGCCGGGCGCGGCGCGGCCCGUGAGGGCGGCGGGGGCUCGGCCGGGCUGGGCGAAGGACGCUGAGGGCACCGGGGGUCCCGCCCGAGCGGCGGCGGAGCCGGGGCGCCGCCUCCCCGCGCCGCUCCCCUCGCACAGCUCCAGUCACCCAGCGACCCAACCACCGCGCCCGGGGAGCAGUAGCACCCACCGAAGCUGGUGACAGCGUAGAGCAGCCCUUGUCCGCCAGGAAGCAAAAUGUUGCCCUCCGCUGUUUGCAGCGUUGCUGGAACAGAGAACUCGCUGCGUCCGAGCCAGUCCAGCGCUUUACUCCAGUGUCACGUCUGUGGCAGUGGUCAGGGGAUUUGGAGAGAGACAGCUCCCACCCAGCCCACAGAUGGCUGCAAAGACCUGCAAAAGGUCCCAUCAUCCUCCCUGACGGCCUCCCACUCUCAGGGUGAGCUGCUCCUGCCCUGGCACCUCGGCACAGGACUGAGACGUGGGGGUUGGCCAUGGCUUCAGCUGGGUUGUCUUCACACUGAGCACCCACACAUUGGAAUGUCAGCAUUCUCCAUGGCUGGAGCACUACCAGCCCUGGCUGUAGAGCUUCACUGGAUCUGGACACCCCGUCCUUGAGAUGCAGAAGCCCAUGAAGCAGCUGAGCACCACGGCGUUGGGAGCUGCGGACCCCACUGCGAUGGGAUGUGAGCAAUGGGCAGAGCUGGCCUUCCCCUCCUCUGACCCUCGCCCGGGGAACCCUGCACUGGGAAAUGGCAUCAUCUACACACACACGCCAUGGCAGCCAAGGGAACAAGGGGACGAGUCCCUCCCCAGGCAGGUUUUGCCACCCUGGCCCUUUGUGGGACCUGUACUGUCAUCUCCUCUGAUCUGCCACAGCGGCCAGAUCCCGAACGAGGCUGAUUUUAUCCACACAGCAACAUCAGUGCCAUGUACCCAGGGGAGAAAAAGUCCUUGAUUUAGCAGACAUGACCAGACCUGGUCAGAAAAUGGAUAUUGUUCCUCAAAGGCAGAGAGGGACAAGGACAAACAGCUGAGUUGAGCUGGUUUGGGGUCAGGCAUUGCUCAUAGUACAACCCAUGCUGGCAGAGCAUGCUGACUGCUGGGGUUUGCUACAAAAAUGCCUUCUGAUAAAGGUGUCCCUGCACUGAGGGGCCCAAGCGGGGCUCACCAAGGAUAUUUGCCAUGGUUUAGACCCCAGGGCAAAGUCAUCCCAUCCCAGCUGAGCAAGCUGAAGCUGGGGAGCUUCCUUGUUGCCAGGCUGGAUUGCUAGUGAGCAAAUCAUGUCCAACCUGCUGGGUAUUCCCUCGAGCCUCCUUUCCAAGCAUUAAAAGUGCUAAUUAAA